UUGGGUUAAGUCCCGCAACGAGCGCAACCCCGCCGUAGUUGCCAGCGGUUCGGCCGGGCACUCUAACGGGGACUGCCCGCGAAAGCGGGAGGAAGGAGGGGACGACGUCUGGUCAGCAUGGCCCUUACGGCCUGGGCGACACACGUGCUACAAUGCCCACUACAAAGCGAGGCCACCCGGCAACGGGGAGCUAAUCGCAAAAAGGUGGGCCCAGUUCGGAUUGGGGCCUGCAACCCGACCCCAUGAAGCCGGAAUCGCUAGUAAUCGCGGAUCAGCCAUGCCGCGGUGAAUACGUUCCCGGGCCUU
rnacentral:rRNA from 1 species